GCCCCGGUGGCACAGUAGGAUAGCGCGGCCCCCUCCUAAGGGGCAGGUCGGGGGUUCGAAUCCCUCCCGGGGCACCA
rnacentral:tRNA from 1 species